AUUGGGAUGGUAUAACCGACAGUUCAUAAAAGAUUAGGCUUAAUAUGUCAUAGGAUUCCAUGGUUGAAAACGACCUGCAGUUAUGGUGUAUUGGAAUCAAACUUCGUCUCUAGAAUGCACUUUGAGAUACCAGUGAUGGCUACACAUUUACCCUAAACGGAUAUUGCGUAGCGAUGAGGGCUGUGGUGGCCGCCCGACAGUGACAAAAAGAAAGAGAAAAAUGGUACCCUCGCCUGCACAAACAACAGAACAAACAGUUUACUCUUGCAGAUGCGAGAAAUUUAAACGUGGAACAUGGAACAUCUUGAUCGAUUCAGUCCAGAACAUGUAGGAUUUGGUGAAUUUGGGACGAGAAUAUGAUUGAAAUGAAGGGCUGUGAGAGGAAUGCAAAGAGAUUGUAGACGAAAGGCUCACUCUCUGAGUGCUUGAAGAGAAAAUCAAGAUCCUAACCUUCUGUCUCUCUCUCUCUCUCUUUCUUUCACGCGCGUGCGUACUCAGAAAAAUCUCUCCCGUGGACAGACACACGUACAACACCCUAAUCAAAUUUGCAGAAACAUUUUCUGCUACAGCUGCCUAAAUUGCAGAUAUAUAUUUAAAUAUUUCUGUAUCCAUCUUCCCUAAUUUCAUCUUUUUUUUUUUUAGUUCCACAAUUGCAGGGUGAGGAUCGAACCAACGAACUUUAGACUAAACUAUGCUCGGAUUAACGUAUUUGUUCGAAUUCCGACCCUUUAACCAAACGAGUGUAAAUUGAGAAGAAAGUAGGUUGCGUGCAACGCAGCUACAAAGACAGGCUUCAAAAUUCUGCAAUUCAGGUGAAGAAGCGAUGAAAAUAACAGAGCCUCACUUGAUUUUACUGGGAAUGAAGAACAUGAUAUUUGGUGACGAAGAGAACAGAGUAGAGGAUGUAAAAUCAAGUUGAUGGGGCAGGAUGUAGCUUCUUUCGGUUAGGAUGGAGCUUCUUUCGAUUUUGGCAUAGUGGAUCUCUGGACUACUAUGUAGUUAAGUGGUAUUAUGCACCCUCUGUAAUUGAUUUGAGGUUUAAGGACGAAUUCCAUCUUUAGAGGAUAAACUAUAAUUCAAAGUGAGAUUCAACAUGAACCCUAACUUUCUAUUCACUCACGAGAUUUAAGUUGUGAUCGAUGUGAGUGUAGUCUAUAGAGGGACCACCUUGAC